rnacentral:rRNA from 1 species
AGAGUUUGAUCCUGGCUCAGGACGAACGCUGGCGGCGCGCUUAACACAUGCAAGUCGAGCGAGAACUAGGCCUUCGGGCCUGGGGAAAGCGGCGAACGGGUGAGUAACACGUGGGUAAUCUGCCCUCGACAUCGGGAUAGCCCGGGGAAACCCGGAUUAAUACCGAAUAGCCUCCGGAGCUCUCGGGCAUCGGAGAAAAGGUGGCUUCGGCUUCCGGUUGGGGAUGAGCCCGCGGCGGAUUAGCUUGUUGGCGGGGUAACGGCCCACCAAGGCGACGAUCCGUAGCUGGUCUGAGAGGACGAUCAGCCACACUGGGACUGAGACACGGCCCAGACUCCUACGGGAGGCAGCAGUGGGGAAUCUUGCGCAAUGGGCGAAAGCCUGACGCAGCGACGCCGCGUGCGGGAAGAAGGCCUUCGGGCUGUAAACCGCUUUCAGGAGGGACGAAGCCACUCGGGUUAAUACCCCAGAGGGUGACGGUACCUCCAGAAGAAGCCCCGGCUAACUACGUGCCAGCAGCCGCGGAAUUC